CCUACGGGUGGCAGCAGUGAGGAAUAUUGGUCAAUGGGCGGAAGCCUGAACCAGCCAAGUCGCGUGAGGGAUUAAGGCCCUGCGGGUCGUAAACCUCUUUUGCCGGGGAGCAGUGGUCCGGACGCGUCCGGACCGGGAGAGUACCCGGAGAAAAAGCAUCGGCUAACUCCGUGCCAGCAGCCGCGGUAAUACGGAGGAUCCAAGCGUUAUCCGGAUUUAUUGGGUUUAAAGGGUGCGUAGGCGGAUUGAUAAGUUAGAGGUGAAAUGUCCGAGCUUAACUCGGGAACUGCCUCUAAUACUGUUGAUCUAGAGAGUAGAUGCGGUAGGCGGAAUGUAUGGUGUAGCGGUGAAAUGCUUAGAGAUCAUACAGAACACCGAUUGCGAAGGCAGCUUACCAAUCUAUAUCUGACGUUGAGGCACGAAAGCGUGGGGAGCAAACAGGAUUAGAUACCCGUGUAGUC
rnacentral:rRNA from 1 species